AUAAGAAUAGAUCAUUAUAUUGAGCCCAUGAAUGUGUCCUCAGACCUGGUUCUCUCCCUAGGUUUGGUUUUAUAAAUGCUAGUGAUAAAC
ensembl:snoRNA SNORA72 Small nucleolar RNA SNORA72